rnacentral:lncRNA from 1 species
GGAAGUUCCCCGCGUCCCAAUGCAGGCCGCGGAGAUAAGCAGUUUCUCCAGACUUCGUCUUGCUGCUCAUUAUAACCAACUGCCCCUCUGGCUCGCCUCAGCCCAAGAAGUGACAGAGUGUGCAGAUGGCAGCCCCAGGAGGAUGGAGCCCAGUUUCCUUUCCACGAGAGAAGGAGAUAAUCAAGUUCUCCAUAAUCCCUCCUACUCAGCACAUAAGCAGCACCCCAGCCUCUCUUCAGCCCAAAGAAGGGACAGAAUAUGCAGAUCCCACAGGAGGCGGGAGGCUGAGUUCCUUUCCACAAGAAAGAGGAACCAACCAAGAUGACCGGAAGUGAUAAAGCAAGUGCGCACAUCCAAAAUGUCUCCCUGUGUCGCCCACCCUGCUAUUCCUUAGGAUAAAGGACCCUUACCCAGCUGAACAAGGAGAUGGUGGUUUGAGGCAUAUGGGCCCUACUGUCUCCUUAGAGAUAGCUUGGCAAAAAAUCUUUUUUCCUCUUUUCACCAAAAUACCUGGCCGCCUUCAAUCUGGUCAGCCGCAGGCAAAGGAACCUAAGCGUAUAAUCCUAAGUGGCCGGCCAGUAACACUUCAGGACAGUGACAUGGCGGAAUCUUCUUUGGGCGGGCCUUCUGUUUCCUCUUUUGGGCAAAAUCAAGGAGAGCUUCUGAGUUCAGGCCCCAGUUCUGCCUCCCCACGACCGUCAGGCAGCCCCUGCCCCGGAGGACCAGCGGCUGCAAGACCCACAGGGCCCAAACGUGCUGACCACAUGGGCAGAUGCGGCAUCCCUGUGUGCAUUUGCCCUGCCUGCAGCUUGUCUGUGCCCAGCCUCAGGCCCCAGUGCUGGACCCUGUUCUUUUUGUGCAGAACAGAGCAAAGAGUAUUUUAAAAGCUGUCCUCCUGGUCUACACCUCAGAUGAGCAGACGCGACUCAGUACCUGACACUUCGAGUACUGCACAGGCAUGAAAAUGCACGCAGCUCAUGCCAAGGCCUCUGGGCAAGCAAUGUUAACAAAAAAUCAGACGUCUGGGGACAGACUUUCUAUCACCUGUAUAUUGUACAUGUGGAAAUUAUGACCAAGGAUCAGAACUCGUGUGUUCAAUAAACUAUGGA